GUGGGGAAUAUUGGACAAUGGGGGGAACCCUGAUCCAGCCAUGCCGCGUGUGUGAAGAAGGCCUUUUGGUUGUAAAGCACUUUAAGCGAGGAGGAGGCUACCGAGAUUAAUACUCUUGGAUAGUGGACGUUACUCGCAGAAUAAGCACCGGCUAACUCUGUGCCAGCAGCCGCGGUAAUACAGAGGGUGCAAGCGUUAAUCGGAUUUACUGGGCGUAAAGCGCGCGUAGGUGGCCAAUUAAGUCAAAUGUGAAAUCCCCGAGCUUAACUUGGGAAUUGCAUUCGAUACUGGUUGGCUAGAGUAUGGGAGAGGAUGGUAGAAUUCCAGGUGUAGCGGUGAAAUGCGUAGAGAUGUGGAGGAAUACCGAUGGCGAAGGCAGCCAUCUGGCCUAAUACUGACACUGAGGUGCGAAAGCAUGGGGAGCAAACAGGAUUAGAAACCCCGGUAGUCC
rnacentral:rRNA from 1 species